rnacentral:rRNA from 1 species
AAGUCGUAACAAGGUUUCCGUAGGUGAACCUGCGGAAGGAUCAUUACCGAGUUCAUGCCCUCACGGGUAGACCUCCCACCCUUGUGUAUUUAUACUUUGUUGCUUUGGCGAGCCGCACUCGUGCCUCGGGCCUCGCAGCUUGAGCGUGCUCGCCAGAGGAUAUCAAAACUCUGUUUAUCAGUGUCGUCUGAGUACUAUAUUAAUAGUUAAAACUUUCAACAACGGAUCUCUUGGUUCUGGCAUCGAUGAAGAACGCAGCGAAAUGCGAUAAGUAAUGUGAAUUGCAGAAUUCAGUGAAUCAUCGAAUCUUUGAACGCACAUUGCGCCCCUUGGUAUUCCGGGGGGCAUGCCUGUUCGAGCGUCAUUUCAACCCUCAAGCUCUGCUUGGUAUUGGGCUCUUGCCAGUGAUGGCAGGCUCUAAAAUCAGUGGCGGUACCGCUGGGUCCUGAGCGUAGUAAUACUUCUCGCUACUGGAUCCCCGCGUGUGUCUUGCCAAAACCCCAAUUUUUUCAGGUUGACCUCGGAUCAGGUAGGGAUACCCGCUGAACUUAA